UACAUGGGGUGCAAACGUUGCUCGGAAUUAUUGGGCGUAAAGCGCGCGUAGGCGGUUACUCAAGUCGGAUGUGAAAGCCCUCGGCUUAACUGAGGAAGUGCACCCGAAACUGAGUAGCUAGAGUACUAAAGAGGGUCGCGGAAUUCCCGGUGUAGAGGUGAAAUUCGUAGAUAUUGGGAAGAACACCGGUGGCGAAGGCGGCUAUCUGGACCGACAUUGACGCUGAGGCGCGAAAGCGUGGGGAGCAAACAGG
rnacentral:rRNA from 1 species